AGACCUGAAAUCAGUCGAGGUUACCCGCUGAAUUUAAGCAUAUUACUAAGCGGAGGAAAAGAAAAUAACA
rfam:Eimeria praecox, Houghton, WGS project CBTT01000000 data, contig: Eph_scaff15320_1